CGAGUACCUGGGGGUUUCUCCAUGUUGCCCAGGCUGGUCUCGAAAUUCUGGGCUCAAGUGAUUGGCCCACCUUGGCCUCCCAAAGUGCUGGGGUUACAGGUAUGAGCCACUGUGCCCAGCCAGAAAUUGCUUUUUAUUUAUUUAUUUUUUUUACACGAAGUCUUGCUGUCUCCCAGGCUGGAAUGCAGUGGUGCAAUCUCGGCUCACUGCAAACUCUGCCUCCUGGGUUCACGCCAUUCUCCUGCCUCAGCCUCCCGAGUAGCUGGGAUUACAGGCACCCGCCACCACGCCCAGCUAAUUUUUUGUACUUUUUAGUAGAGACAGGGUUUAACCGUGUUAGCCAGGAUGGUCUCGAUCUCCUGACCUUGUGAUCCGCCCGCCUCAGCCUCCCAAAGUGCUGGGAU
rnacentral:lncRNA from 10 species